GGGGCGGUGGUUCAGCUGGUUAGAAUGCGGGCCUGUCACGCCGGAGGUCUCGGGUUCGAGUCCCGUCCGCUCCGCCA
rnacentral:tRNA from 1 species